rnacentral:tRNA from 1 species
GGACCUGUAGCGCAGUGGUUGUCGCGCCCUCUGCUACCAGAGGGAGGACGCCGGUUCGAGUCCGGCCUGGUCCG